rnacentral:tRNA from 1 species
GGCGUGCCGAUGUGGUAUAUCGGGCCGGUCUGCAAAAAACUUUACGAUUUGUCGCAGGUUCAAAUCCUGCCGCAUAGCCG